AUUGAACGCUGGCGGCAGGCCUAACACAUGCAAGUCGAACGGUAACAGGAAGCAGCUUGCUGCUUUGCUGACGAGUGGCGGAUGGGUGAGUAAUGUCUGGGAAAAUGCCUGAUGGAGGGGGAUAACUACUGGAAACGGUAGCUAAUACCGCAUAGCGUCGCAAGACCAAACAGGGGGACCUUCGGGCCUCUUGCUAUCGGAUGUGCCCAGCUGGGGUUUGUUAGUAGGUGGGGUAACGGCUCACCUAGGCGACUAUCCCUAGCUGGCCUGUGAGGAUGACCAGCCACACUGGAAGUGAGACACGGUCCAGAGUCCUACGGGAGGCAGCAGUGGGGAAUAUUGCACAAUGGUCGCAUGCCUGACGCAGCCAUGCCGCGUGUAUGAAGAAGGCCUUCGGUUUUUAGAGUUCUUUCAGCGGGGAGGAAGGGAGUAAAGUUAGUACCGUGGCUCAUUGACGUUACCCGCAGAAGAAGCACCGGCUAACUCCGUG
rnacentral:rRNA from 1 species